rnacentral:rRNA from 1 species
CGCCUGUUUAUCAAAAACAUCUCCUUUUGAUUUUAUAAUUUUAGGUUUAACCUGCUCAAUGAUUAAUUUAAUAGCUGCAGUAUUUUAACUGUACUAAGGUAGCAUAAUCAUUUGUCUUUUAAUUAGAGGCUAGAAUGAAUGGUUGGACAUAGUGUAAUCUUUCUUUAUUUUAAUAAUUUGAAUUUUAUUUUUUAGUUAAAAAGCUAAAAUUUUAUUGAGGGACGAGAAGACCCUAUAGAUCUUUAUAGUAUUGUUUAUUAUAUUUUUAUAGUAUUGUUUAUUAAGAAUUAUUUUAUUUAGUAUUAUUUGGUUGGGGCGAUUAUGGAAUUUAAAUAACUUCCAUUAAUAUUAAUUCAUUAAUGUAUGUAUGUAUGAUCCAUUUUUAUUGAUUAAAAGAUUAAGUUACCUUAGGGAUAACAGCGUAAUUUCUUCGGAUAGUUCUUAUUGAUGAAGGGUUUUGCGACCUCGAUGUUGGAUUAAAAUUAUUAUUUAGUGCAGAGGCUAAAAGAUUAGGUCUGUUCGACCUUUAAUUUUUUACAUGAUCUGAGUUCAAACCGGAG